GUUCCAUUUGGUAGGCAUUAGAUCAAUUGUUCAACAAGAAGAACAAGACUAGCCUACAUCUGUUGAAGGACAAGUUAGGCGAACGUGAAGUUGGAGAAUUCUUCAAUCUUUGAGUCUUUUAUCAAGGGUAAAAACUUUGCUCUGAGAUUAAUACUUUUCACCAAACGGAAUCAAUUUCGGAAAUUCGUUUGAACAUAUCUACUACUCGAGGUCUAUGCCAAGUUUCAGAAAUUGACUCAUCCGGGGAAGAGUAUUAUUCUCAUAGCAAAUGUUCUUGACCCCUGAUAAAAAAAAAUUCUAAGAUUGAAGAAUACAUUUGUAUGUAAGAUAUACCGUUUGGAGAAAUUGAUGUGUCUUGUUUUGGUUCCGGUCUAACAAAUGAUGAUCGGAUCAUGAACUCAUAGUUAAGCUAGACCCAAAAUCAAGUUUAAUUUUAAUAGCUUUGUAUUAGUUUU